rnacentral:sRNA from 1 species
GACCUAAACCGCACUUUGUACGGCAUGGUUGAAGAAUCCACAAAGAGAAACAGCUCGUCAUGAGUACUUCUCUUUGUGGUCGCAUUCCGAAAGGUUUGUGGGUAGUCGCAAGACUACC